GCAAAAUGGCCGAAUAGGAGCAGCUCCAGUCUACAGCUCCCAGGGAGAUUAAUGCAAAAGGGUCCCACUGUGUCACCCAGGCUGGAGUGCAGUGGCACCAACUCAAUUCACUUGCAGGCUCGACCUCCCAGGCUCAGGUGACCCAUACCACCUCAGCUUCCCAAGUAGCUGGGAUCACAGGCAUACACCAUCACAACUGGCUAAUUUUUGUAUUUUUUUGGAGAGAUGGAGUCUCGACACGUUGCCCAAGCUGUUCUCAAACUCCAGGGCUUGAACAAUCUUCCCACCUUGGCCUCCCAAGGCACUGGAAUUACAGAGACAGUGCUCUGCAGGGAGUCUACCACUGUGAUGGUUAAUACUGAGUGUCAACUUGAUUGGAUUGAAGGAUGCAAAGUAUUGUUCCUGGGUGUGUCUGUGAGGGUGUUGCCAAAGGAGAUUAACAUUUGAGUCAGUGGGCUGGGAAAGGUAGACCCAGCCGUAAUCUAGGUGGGCACCAUCUAAUCAGCUGCCAGCAC
rnacentral:lncRNA from 1 species